rnacentral:rRNA from 1 species
GACGAACGCUGGCGGCGGGCUUAACACAUGCAAGUCGAACGGAAAGGCCCUGCUUUUGUGGGGUGCUCGAGUGGCGAACGGGUGAGUAACACGUGAGUAACCUGCCCUUGACUUUGGGAUAACUUCAGGAAACUGGGGCUAAUACCGGAUAGGAGCUCCUGCUGCAUGGUGGGGGUUGGAAAGUUUCGGCGGUUGGGGAUGGACUCGCGGCUUAUCAGCUUGUUGGUGGGGUAGUGGCUUACCAAGGCUUUGACGGGUAGCCGGCCUGAGAGGGUGACCGGCCACAUUGGGACUGAGAUACGGCCCAGACUCCUACGGGAGGCAGCAGUGGGGAAUAUUGCACAAUGGGCGGAAGCCUGAUGCAGCAACGCCGCGUGCGGGAUGACGGCCUUCGGGUUGUAAACCGCUUUCGCCUGUGACGAAGCGUGAGUGACGGUAAUGGGUAAAGAAGCACCGGCUAAAUACGUG